rnacentral:rRNA from 1 species
UACAGAGGUGGCAAGCGUUGUUCGGAAUUACUGGGCGUAAAGGGCGCGUAGGCGGCCUUCUAAGUCAGACGUGAAAUCCCUCGGCUUAACCGGGGAACUGCGUCUGAUACUGGAUGGCUUGAGAUUGGGAGAGGGAUGCGGAAUUCCAGGUGUAGCGGUGAAAUGCGUAGAUAUCUGGAGGAACACCGGUGGCGAAGGCGGCAUCCUGGACCAACACUGACACUGAGGAGCGAAAGCCAGGGGAGCAAACGGG